CCAAUAAGGGGAAUUAAAAAAUAAAAAGUACUUAGCAGUACGAUACUGCCAAUGGCAAUACCAAAGAUUUAGAUGCUUUGUUUUCUCGUUAUAGUGAAUAGAUAUCUGACACAACCCAAAAAGAUUCGGAUUUAAUUUUCUAGUGAAAGGCAAGUGUAUCGGCAUCAUUGUCGACAUGGCUGCACCUAUACCCAAAGGUCAUUGAAAGGAACUUUGUCACUGUUUGAUUGAAACUGGUAAAACCCAAUGGAAAGAGACAUGUCCUAGUAUUUUUAGAUUGUGUAUUUUGUGAGAAAACUUUUUCACCAACGAGAGUUAUCAUUACCUUAUGUCCCAAAAGAUAAAGGCAGCUUUCGUUAAGUGCUUGAAUGUCCAUAACAUAUAAAUUGUUUCAUAAGAAAGUAUCGAAUUGUUCCUUUUAACCGGUCUUCAUUCGCUAUAUAGCACUCCUAUACCAAUAGUAAUAGAGGUAAUGUAUCAGGCCAUUUAUGUUAUGGCACAAUGUGGAAGUGCUGAGCUUAUUGAUUUCAAUUCCCUUCGUGCAACAGAUGCGCCACUUCCUGCUGCUGUAGAUAUUGAGAAUACCACACAAGUUGAAAAUUAUUUGCUUUUUUCUUUAGUCGUGCUUAGAGCAUCCACGUAUUACAAAUCGUAUCAGAGAGCUGGACCUGUAUAUUAUGGAGUUGUUGCUAUAGCAUUUGAAGCUUUCCCCCGAACUUUAGCCUAGGACAGUGGUGUGACUUUGUCCGUACAAUGAAUGUGUUCCAUUGAAAAGAUGCAAAUAGCAAGAUUGCAGGGCUGGGCAUAGCUAAAGGUUGAAUUGCAGAAUGCAAAAAUUUUAGCAGUUCAAAAUGUUGCUAGCUAUAUUGGCUAUAGUUUCAUUUCUGAAAACUUGUUGGACGGGAUAGCAGAUCAAGUGAAUUGACAGCGUGCUUUGGGAAUUGAAGGUCCUGGCCAAGAAUUCAUUUGAAUUGAUAAUGCAGGCAUAAAAGAACGUGACAACUUUAAGAUCUCUGUCCUUCCUUGAAUUUCAUGAAUUUGACUAGUUUAACAAAGGAGUCCGUCAUGUUAGGGGAAGGAAGAUAUAAAAACAUAGUGGAGGAGGCUCUAGCCAAUCUGGUUAUGAACAAACUGAGAGGUGCAAGUCACAUUAGUUCACUCAAUUCUCAUGGUUUUGGGGAGCAAAGAAGUCCAUAGAUUGAUGACAUUGUUAUCUACGUUACUGGAGUGCUUAUUUUGUUUGUCAGAUAUUAUCAGUUUACUCUUAGUAGGGCCUUCGGACAUGCUUCCAAGAUGACAUUGACAAUGGAGUCAAUAAAAAUUGUUGGUGAUAUCUUUUACAUGGAAGCAAAUAGUGGAGAAACUAAAAGAGUGAACUGGAAUGAUGUUUUUGCCACAGAAUUUGCACUUGAGGUGGCAGAGUAUGUUCUAAUUCCUAAAUUGAUGACGCUCCACUGAACCUUGAGGAUUUCAUUUUUGCUUCUAAAAAUUUGGUGACUUGUCCAUAUUUAUUUUGAUGCACUAGAGUAAUUUUCUUGAAUCUAUGCAGAAGACUUGUGAAAGGAAAAAGAAUAAAUUGAUGUAGUUAAGAGUUACAACUAUAGAACAAUACUAUUCACCACUGCUAAGGAAUAAAUCUAUUUACGACAACUACAUACACACAUAUAUACGGAUUUGAUUUACAACACAUUUGAACAAAUAGCUCUAACUCAAACAUUGAACUAAAUAAAAAAUGGUCAGCUACUAUAGUCUGUUGUUUGGUAAAGCUGCCUUGGAUUUCCUAAGUCUUCUUUCUUCUGAAAGCAACUUAGCGAGCCUUUUCAAAGCUUCUUCAUUUGAGCCACUAUGUUCACACGGUUCAAGUAGACCUGUAUGCAAAUCAAUCUUUGAAACUGUUUUUUUCAGCAAUUUCUUCCCAAUUUCAACUAAUCUCCUCAUGUUAACCUCUGUUGAUAUGUCAACGGAGGAAUCAGUCUCUGUCAAUGUGUCAUCCUGAACGCGAAGAUAAUUAUUUUCGGAAUGAAGUGCUUGGAGGAGGGCAGAAAUAUGGAAAUUAACCAUAUCAUCACUGGCAUGAGUAAGAAGGUCCAAGAUUGGAGAUGAACCACCAUAGAGGAGCCAUUUGCAAAGACCCCAUUUGGCUGCUGUUUUAGCAUUGUAUUUCAAUUUCAUUUUUGUUGAUGUUCCUGUACCUAGUGAGAUCACUAAAAAGCGACCAUAAUCAUCUGGCUUUACCGGAAAGAAAUCUGAAUUCCCAUGGAGGAUUUGCUUGGUCA